UACGAAGGGGGCUAGCGUUGCUCGGAAUUACUGGGCGUAAAGCGCACGUAGGCGGUCUUUUAAGUCGGGGGUGAAAUCCUGGAGCUCAACUCCAGAACUGCCUCGAUACUGGAAGACUCGAGUCCGGGAGAGGUGAGUGGAACUGCGAGUGUAGAGGUGAAAUUCGUAGAUAUUCGCAAGAACACCAGUGGCGAAGGCGGCUCACUGGCCCGGUACUGACGCUGAGGUGCGAAAGCGUGGGGAGCAACAGGG
rnacentral:rRNA from 1 species